rnacentral:rRNA from 1 species
CCUACGGGAGGCAGCAGUGAGGAAUAUUGGUCAAUGGCCGUAAGGCUGAACCAGCCAAGUCGCGUGCAGGAAGAAGGAUCUAUGGUUUGUAAACUUCUUUUAUAGGGGAAUAAAGGUAUCCACGUGUGGAUAUUUGCAUGUACCCUAUGAAUAAGCAUCGGCUAACUCCGUGCCAGCAGCCGCGGUAAUACGGAGGAUGCGAGCGUUAUCCGGAUUUCUUGGGUUUAAAGGGUGCGUAGGUUGUUUUUUAAGUCAGCGGUGAAAGUUUGUGGCUCAACCAUAAAAUUGCCGUUGAAACUGGAAGACUUGAGUGUGUUUGAGGUAGGCGGAAUGCGUGGUGUAGCGGUGAAAUGCAUAGAGAUCACGCAGAACUCCGAUUGCGAAGGCAGCUUACUAAGCCAUAACUGACACUGAAGCACGAAAGCGUGGGGAGCAAACAGGAUUAGAUACCCCUGUAGUC